rnacentral:rRNA from 1 species
CCUACGGGUGGCAGCAGUGAGGAAUAUUGGUCAAUGGACGCGAGUCUGAACCAGCCAAGUCGCGUGAAGGAUGACUGCCCUACGGGUUGUAAACUUCUUUUAUAAAGGAAUAAAGUGAUGCACGUGUGCCUUUUUGUAUGUACUUUAUGAAUAAGGAUCGGCUAACUCCGUGCCAGCAGCCGCGGUAAUACGGAGGAUCCGAGCGUUAUCCGGAUUUAUUGGGUUUAAAGGGAGCGUAGAUGGGUUGUUAAGUCAGGUGUGAAAGUUUUCGGCUCAAACGUAAAAUUGCAAUUGAUACUGGCAGACUGGAGUACAGUGGAGGUAGGCGGAAUUCGUGGUGUAGCGGUGAAAUGCUUAGAUAUCACGAAGAACUCCGAUUGCGAAGGCAGCUUACUAAACUGCAACUGACACUGAGGCUCGAAAGUGUGGGUAUCAAACAGGAUUAGAUACCCGGGUAGUC